GCCUGGAUAGCUCAGUCAGUAGAGCAUCAGACUUUUAAUCUGAGGACCCAAGGUUCAUGCCCCUGUUCAGGCA